GAUGAACGCUGGCGGCGUGCCUAAUACAUGCAAGUCGAGCGAACAGACGAGGAGCUUGCUCCUCUGACGUUAGCGGCGGACGGGUGAGUAACACGUGGAUAACCUACCUAUAAGACUGGGAUAACUUCGGGAAACCGGAGCUAAUACCGGAUAAUAUAUUGAACCGCAUGGUUCAAUAGUGAAAGACGGUUUUGCUGUCACUUAUAGAUGGAUCCCCGCCGGAUUGGCUAGUUGGGAAGGUAACGGGUUACUAAGGGGAGUAUGCGUUGCCGACCUGAGGGAGGGAUCGGCGACAUGGGAGCGUAGCCAGCGACCAGGCUACUAAGGGAGGGAGCAGUAGGGAACCGUACGCAAUGGGCGAAAGCCUGACGGAGCGACGCCGCGUGAGUGAUGAAGGUGUCCGGAGCGGAAAGCCGUGUUAUGAGUGAAGAACAAAUGUGUAAGGAACUAUGGACGUCUUGACGGUACCGAAUCAGAAAGCCACGGCUAACUACGUG
rnacentral:rRNA from 1 species